GUCCCUGUAGUGCAAUUGAUAGCGCGUUGGACUUCGAAUCCAAAGUUAGUGGGUUCAAAUCACACCUGGAAUG